rnacentral:rRNA from 1 species
UGGAGAGUUUGAUCCUGGCUCAGAUUGAACGCUGGCGGCAGGCCUAACACAUGCAAGUCGAGCGGCAGCGGGAAAGUAGCUUGCUACUUUUGCCGGCGAGCGGCGGACGGGUGAGUAAUGCCUGGGGAUCUGCCCAGUCGAGGGGGAUAACAGUUGGAAACGACUGCUAAUACCGCAUACGCCCUACGGGGGAAAGGAGGGGACCUUCGGGCCUUUCGCGAUUGGAUGAACCCAGGUGGGAUUAGCUAGUUGGUGGGGUAAUGGCUCACCAAGGCGACGAUCCCUAGCUGGUCUGAGAGGAUGAUCAGCCACACUGGAACUGAGACACGGUCCAGACUCCUACGGGAGGCAGCAGUGGGGAAUAUUGCACAAUGGGGGAAACCCUGAUGCAGCCAUGCCGCGUGUGUGAAGAAGGCCUUCGGGUUGUAAAGCACUUUCAGCGAGGAGGAAAGGUUGGCGCCUAAUACGUGUCAACUGUGACGUUACUCGCAGAAGAAGCACCGGCUAACUCCGUGCCAGCAGCCGCGGUA